AGUUUAGAAGGUGUUCACAGGGCACUCAACUGUAGCUGCCAACUUUACUCCUUACUUCAUUCUGUGGAAAUCGAUCCAACAUGUUUGUUGUGAUGUUCUCAAAGUGACCAGCUGUUGAAGGUGUAUGAAAUGCAAAAUAUCGUGGAAGGAAUUUGUCGUAGCAAAUGAGCUGUGGAAAAAAACCUUGCCGCUGAAAGGUAUAUUAGAGCAGUCAAUUGCCAGAAUAUGUAACUCAGCCCUAGGGAAGAGAAACACCAGUGGUACCGGC